AGUGAACGCUGGCGGUAUGCCUAACACAUGCAAGUCGAACGGCAGCACAGUAAAAUCUUGCUCUUACGGGUGGCGAGUGGCGGACGGGUGAGGAAUACAUCGGAAUCUACUUUUUCGUGGGGGAUAACGUAGGGAAACUUACGCUAAUACCUCAUACCACCUACGGGUGAAAUCAGGGUAGAUUCGUACCUUUGCCUAUUGAAUGAGCCGAUGUCGGAUGAGCUAGUUGGCGGGGUAAAGGCCCACCAAGGCGACGAUCCGUAGCUGGUCUGAGAGGAUGAUCAGCCACACUGGAACUGAGACACGGUCCAGACUCCUACGGGAGGCAGCAGUGGGGAAUAUUGGACAAUGGGCGCAAGCCUGAUCCAGCCAUACCGCGUGGGUGAAGAAGGCCUUCGGGUUGUAAAGCCCUUUUGUUGGGAAAGAAAAGCAGCAGGUUAAUACCCCGCUGUUCUGACGGUACCCAAAGAAUAAGCACCGGCUAACUUCGUG
rnacentral:rRNA from 1 species